UACGGGGGGGGCAAGCGUUGUCCGGAAUUAUUGGGCGUAAAGGGCUCGUAGGCGGUCCGUCGCGUCGGGAGUGAAAACUCGGAGCUUAACUCCGAGCCUGCUUCCGAUACGGGCAGACUAGAGGUAGGCAGGGGAGAGCGGAACUCCUGGUGUAGCGGUGGAAUGCGCAGAUAUCAGGAAGAACACCCGUGGCGAAAGCGGCUCUCUGGAACGGUACUGACGCUGAGACGCGAAAGCGUGGGGAGCGAACAGG
rnacentral:rRNA from 1 species